rnacentral:rRNA from 1 species
AUUGAACGCUGGCGGCAUGCCUUACACAUGCAAGUCGAACGGCAGCACGGGUGCUUGCACCUGGUGGCGAGUGGCGAACGGGUGAGUAAUACAUCGGAACGUACCUUAUCGUGGGGGAUAACGCAGCGAAAGCUGUGCUAAUACCGCAUACGCCCUGAGGGGGAAAGCGGGGGAUCGCAAGACCUCGCGCGAUUAGAGCGGCCGAUGCCUGAUUAGCUUGUUGGUGGGGUAAAAGCCCACCAAGGCGACGAUCAGUAGCUGGUCUGAGAGGACGAUCAGCCACACUGGGACUGAGACACGGCCCAGACUCCUACGGGAGGCAGCAGUGGGGAAUUUUGGACAAUGGGGGCAACCCUGAUCCAGCAAUGCCGCGUGAGUGAAGAAGGCCUUCGGGUUGUAAAGCUCUUUUGUCAGGAAAGAAACACCGGCUCUAACACAGUCCGGGAAUGACGGUACCUGAAGAAUAAGCACCGGCUAACUAUGUGCCAGCAGCCGCCGUAA